GGGACAACAGUUGGAAACGACUGCUAAUACCGCAUAAGCCCACGGGUCGGCAUCGAGCAGAGGGAAAAGGAGCAAUCCGCUUUGAGAUGGCCUCGCGUCCGAUUAGCUAGUUGGUGAGGUAAUGGCCCACCAAGGCAACGAUCGGUAGCCGGACUGAGAGGUUGAACGGCCACAUUGGGACUGAGACACGGCCCAGACUCCUACGGGAGGCAGCAGUGGGGAAUAUUGCACAAUGGGGGAAACCCUGAUGCAGCGACGCCGCGUGGAGGAAGAAGGUCUUCGGAUUGUAAACUCCUGUUGUUGAGGAAGAUAAUGACGGUACUCAACAAGGAAGUGACGGCUAACUACGUGCCAGCAGCCGCGGUAAAACGUAGGUCACAAGCGUUGUCCGGAAUUACUGGGUGUAAAGGGAGCGCAGGCGGGAAGACAAGUUGGAAGUGAAAUCCAUGGGCUCAACCCAUGAACUGCUUUCAAAACUGUUUUUCUUGAGUAGUGCAGAGGUAGGCGGAAUUCCCGGUGUAGCGGUGGAAUGCGUAGAUAUCGGGAGGAACACCAGUGGCGAAGGCGGCCUACUGGGCACCAACUGACGCUGAGGCUCGAAAGUGUGGGUAGCAAACAGGAUUAGAUACCCUGGUAGUCCACACCGUAAACGAUGAUUACUAGGUGUUGGAGGAUUGACCCCUUCAGUGCCGCAG
rnacentral:rRNA from 1 species